GCAGACAGAGCUCUGGGUAGAGUCUGGGUAGAGGGACCUGUGGUGGGAGAAAGAGAGAAGAUCAGAGUGGAGGGGAGAAGCAGGGUUGGGGCCUUGAAGGUACUGCUGAGCAUGUGGGUCCUUAUCCUUACCCUGCAUUGCCCGCAGGCCUGACCUUUGCUUCAUUCUUCAUGGCUGCCAAGUGAGAGUGUGGCCCCUGCAGAUGGUUGGAUCAUCCAUCCAGUUCUUUGCUUCCUCUAGCUGAUAUCCUUCUUUGCUGUACUAUAUGGGAAAAGCAAGAAAUAUUUGACACCAAAAUUGCUUCCUUUGUGUGGCCCCGUAUUGCCCUGUAUAGAAGCAUUUCGUCUUCACAACAACUCUAUGAGUCUCAGGUAUGCCUUUAUCAGCAGUGUGAAAAUGGACUAAUACAACCUGUUACCCUAGCACUUUGGGAGGCCAAGGUAGGCGGAUGACUUGAGGUCAGGAGUUUGAGACCAGCCUGGGCAACAUGGUGAAACAUCAUCUCUACAAAAAAUACAAAAAUUAGCCAUGUGCUGCACACCUGUAAUUCCAGCUACUUGGGAGGCUGAGGCGGGAGGAUCACUUGAGCCUGGGAGGCAGAGGUUGCACUGAGCCAAGAUCACGCCACUGCACUCUAGCCUGGGUGACAGAGUGAGGCCCUGUCUCAAAAAAAAAAGCAAAAACACAGUAUCUUUGAAAUGUGCAGCACUGCAGCAUGGCGUCUGGGACAUGUACACCCUUGUCAUCAUGAACAACAUCCAAGACCAUAAAAAUCACGGGUCUCCAGCCAUCCCAUUACUGGGUAUACACCAAAGGAAUAUCAAUCAUGCUGCUAUAAAGACACAUGCACAUGUAUGUUUAUUGCGGCACUACUCACAAUAGCAAAGACUUGGAACCAACCCAAAUGUCCAACAAUCAUAGACUGGAUUAAGAAAGUGUGGCACAUAUACACCAUGGAAUACUAUGCAGCUAUAAAAAAUGAUGAGUUCAUGUCCUUUUUAGGGACAUGGAUGAAGCUGGAAACCAUCAUUCUCAGCAAACUAUCGCAAGGACAAAAAACCAAACACCGCAUGUUCUCACUCAUAGGUGGGAAUUGAACAAUGAGAACACUUGGACAAGGAAGGGGAGCAUCACACACCGGGGCCUGUUGUGGGGUGGGGGAAGGCGGGAGGGAUAGCAUUAGGAGAUAAACCUAAUGUAAAUGACGAGUUAAUGGGUGCAGCACACCAGCAUGGCACAUGUAUACAUAUGUAACAAACCUGCACGUUGUGCACAUGUACCCUAGAACUUAAAAUAUAAUAAAUAUAUAUAUAUAUAUUUAAAAAAAAUCAUGGGUCUGUCUUGGGACUAUUAGGCUUGCCAGUUGUAUACAUAAAUGUUAGAUUAGACAGCUUCAUAAUACCAAGUUAAAAAUGACUAAUGUCCUUGUGUAAUGAAUAAACUUGCUCCAAUAACCUUGAAAAUGAAAGAAAAGUUUGAUCACAGAGUGAAAUUUAAUUCAGACAAUUUCAGCAGCUGUGUAUUUCAGAUAAACCCAUAAAUGGCACAAAGAAAUGAUAGCCCUAGCUGAGUUGUCCAAAAAAGAGGGUUUGGACAACUCUUUUUGUCCAAAGACAAAAAGAGGCAAGUCCUUAGCCUGUGUAUUGGGUCACUGCCAAGAGAUGAUGUUGUCCAUGUGGAGGCAGAGAGUGAACUUCCUUCAGUUCUGACUGACUGCUGUAAAUAGUGUCACAUGGCUAAACCUGUGUAAGUAGUUUCAAAACCUGCUUUAAAGUAUAGUUAAGGCCAGGCUCAGUGGCUCAUGCCUGUAAUUCCAGCACUUUGGGAGCCUGAAGUGGGAGUAUUGCUUGAUUCCAGGAGUUCAAGACCAGCCUGAGCAGCAUGGCGAAAACCCAUCUCUACAAAAAAUACAAAAAUUAGCCAGAUGUGGUGGCACAUGCCUGUAGACCCAGCCACUCAAAAGGCUCAGGUGGGAGGAUCACCUGAGCCCAGGAGGCCCAGGCUACAGUGAGCCAUGAUCAUGCUACUUAACUCCAGUCUGGGUAAAGGAGGGAGACUCUGUCUCAAAAAAAAAAAAA
rnacentral:lncRNA from 1 species